UCCUACGGGAGGCAGCAGUGAGGAAUAUUGGUCAAUGGCCGGGAGGCUGAACCAGCCAAGUCGCGUGAGGGAAGACGGCCCUACGGGUUGUAAACCUCUUUUGUCAGGGAGCAAGGUGCAGGUCGGGACCUGCUGUGAGAGUACCUGAAGAAAAAGCAUCGGCUAACUCCGUGCCAGCAGCCGCGGUAAUACGGAGGAUGCGAGCGUUAUCCGGAUUUAUUGGGUUUAAAGGGUGCGCAGGCGGCACGGCAAGCCGGCGGGCAAAUCGCGG
rnacentral:rRNA from 1 species